GCGUCUCCCAAUGGCCAAGAUAAGGACCCACGUCCCGCAUCCUGUGGCUGCACAUUCUCAGCCACAAGAGUCACUGCAGCCCCUUUCCGGAGGGAGGCGAUUCGGACAAUGGCAUCUCAGACUGAUGCAGCUAAUCCAGCUUUACCCAAGGGAAGUGGAUGAGGUCACAAGACUGGGAAAGGACUUGUUUGCUGUCGGGAGGAUGGUGAACUUGACAUGUCGAAGAGAGACGAGUGCUCUAUCUGUGGGCGAAGAAAGGAGUUUGCCAGCCCUCCGCAAGAGCCGCCUGUGAUGGAGACAAUGACGCAUGAGGCGAAGCAGGAGUGUGAAUAGCUCCGUCGC